rnacentral:rRNA from 1 species
ACGAACGUUGGCGGCGUGCCUAAUGCAUGCAAGUCGAACGAGGGACCCCAUCCGGGUAACCGGAAGGGGUCACCUAGUGGCGAACGGGUGAGUAACACGUGAGAAACCUGCCCCGGAGACCGGAAUAGCCCAGGGAAACUUGGAUUAAUGCCGGAUGUCCUCGGAUGGUCGCAUGGUCGACCGAGGAAAAGUCCGCUGCUCCGGGAUGGUCUCGUGGCCUAUCAGCUUGUUGGUGAGGUAACGGCUCACCAAGGCGACGACGGGUAGCUGGUCUGAGAGGACGAUCAGCCACACUGGGACUGAGACACGGCCCAGACUCCUGCGGGAGGCAGCAGCAGGGAAUUUUGCACAAUGGACGAAAGUCUGAUGCAGCGACGCCGCGUGGGGGAUGAAUGCCUUCGGGUUGUAAAGUGCUUUUUGAAAGGAUGAGGAAGGACAGUACUUUCAGAAUAAGCUUCGGCUAACUACGU